rnacentral:rRNA from 1 species
CUACUGGAAUCUGGCUUUUUAAACUUCGAUUUGGGUGGCGGACGGGUGAGUAACGCGUAAAGAACUUGCCUCACAGCUAGGGACAACAUUUGGAAACGAAUGCUAAUACCUGAUAUUAUGAUUAUAGGGCAUCCUAGAAUUAUGAAAGCUAUAUGCGCUGUGAGAGAGCUUUGCGUCCCAUUAGCUAGUUGGAGAGGUAACGGCUCACCAAGGCGAUGAUGGGUAGCCGGCCUGAGAGGGUGAACGGCCACAAGGGGACUGAGACACGGCCCUUACUCCUACGGGAGGCAGCAGUGGGGAAUAUUGGACAAUGGACCGAGAGUCUGAUCCAGCAAUUCUGUGUGCACGAUGACGUUUUUCGGAAUGUAAAGUGCUUUCAGUUGGGAAGAAAAAAAUGACGGUACCAACAGAAGAAGUGACGGCUAAAUACGUGCCAGCAGCCGCGGUAAUACGUAUGUCACGAGCGUUAUCCGGAUUUAUUGGGCGUAAAGCGCGUCUAGGUGGUUAUGUAAGUCUGAUGUGAAAAUGCAGGGCUCAACUCUGUAUUGCGUUGGAAACUGUGUAACUAGAGUACUGGAGAGGUAAGCGGAACUACAAGUGUAGAGGUGAAAUUCGUAGAUAUUUGUAGGAAUGCCGAUGGGGAAGCCAGCUUACUGGACAGAUACUGACGCUGAAGCGCGAAAGCGUGGGUAGCAAACAGGAUUAGAUACCCUGGUAGUCCACGCCGUAAACGAUGAUUACUAGGUGUUGGGGGUCGAACCUCAGCGCCCA